rnacentral:rRNA from 1 species
GACGAACGCUGGCGGCGUGCUUAACACAUGCAAGUCGAACGAUGAAGAAGAGAAACGCGAACUUCGGUUCAACUUUCACUUCGGAUUAGUGGCAGACGGGUGAGUAACGCGUGAGCAACCUACCUCUUACAAAGGGAUAGCCUCGGGAAACCGUGAUUAAUACCAUAUGACACAUUCAUAAGGCAUCUUAAGAAUGUUAAAGCUACGGCGGUAAGAGAUGGGCUCGCGUCCCAUUAGCUAGUUGGUGAGGUAACGGCCCACCAAGGCGACGAUGGGUAACCGGACUGAGAGGGUGAACGGUCACAUUGGAACUGAGACACGGUCCAAACUCCUACGGGAGGCAGCAGUGGGGAAUAUUGCACAAUGGAGGGAACUCUGAUGCAGCGACGCCGCGUGAGCGAUGAAGGAAUUCGUUUCGUAAAGCUCUGUUCUAUGGGAAGAAAAGGACUGUACCAUAGGAGAAAGCCCCGGCUAAAUACGUG